rnacentral:rRNA from 1 species
GCAUAUCAAUAAGCGGAGGAAAAGAAACUAACAAGGAUUCCCCUAGUAAUGGCGAAUGAAGAGGGAAAAGCUCAAAUUUUAAAUCUACCUGGUUCCCAGGUCGAGUUGUAAUUUGAAGAAGCGAUAUCGGUGUGGAGGUCUGGUUCAAGUUCUUUGGAACAAGACAUCAUGGAGGGUGAGAAUCCCGUGCAUGAUCAGACCAAGAUACUUAAUAUUCGCUUUCUAAGAGUCGAGUUGUUUGGGAAUGCAGCUCAAAUUGGAUGGUAGACUUCACCUAAGGCUAAAUAUCAGCGAGAGACCGAUAGCGAACAAGUACUGUGAAGGAAAGAUGAAAAGAACUUUGAAAAGAGAGUUAAAUAGUACGUGAAAUUGUUGAAAGGGAAACGAUUGAAGUCAGUCAUGCCAGUGGAAAUUCAGUUUGGUGGGUUUUGGGUUCAGGAGUUGAGGCAGGGUCAAUCCGUUUCUCUUUUGAUCUUGGAAUUUGUCAGAUGCACUUUUUCUUUGGCAGGUCAGCGUCGAUUUCGGAGGUUGUAAAAUACUUGGGGAAAAGUAGCUCUGCUUCGGGAGAGUGUUAUAGACCUUGGGUGAUGCGGCCUGCGGGAUCGAGGAUUGCAGCAAAUGCUUUUGGCUUGUCGCCUGAUCUCUGGACGUCAUCUCGCUUGUAUCAACAUUACUUGGUACCGGUGAGUAAUGGUGCUCAUAGGAUAGAGCGAUCAAAAAUUUGCUAAGGAUGCUGACGUAAUGGCUUUAAACGAC